UUUAAAGUGUAAUGUAAGUCGCUUUGGAUAAAAGCGCCUGCUAAAUGACCUGUA
rfam:Gasterosteus aculeatus cont1.002850, whole genome shotgun sequence.